rnacentral:rRNA from 1 species
GACGAACGCUGGCGGCGUGCCUAAUACAUGCAAGUCGAGCGAAGCGGCGGAUGGGUUAGUAACGCGCGGGUAACCUGCCCUUAAGUCUGGGAUACCAUUUGGAAACAGAUGCUAAUAUCGGAUACUUAAGAAUGGACAUGCGAUGCAUUAACUAGUUGGUAAGGUAACGGCUUACAAAGGCAAUGAUGCAUAGCCGGGUUGAGAGACUGAUCGGCCACAUUGGGACUGAGACACGGCCCAAACUCCUACGGGAGGCAGCAGUAGGAAAUCUUCCACAAUGGACGAAAGUCUGAUGGGGCAACGCCGCGUGAGUGAAGAAGGUUUUCGGAUCGUAAAGCUCUGUUGUUGGUGAAGCGGUAAUCAACCAGAAAGUCACGGCUAACUACGUGCCAGCAGCCGCGGUAAUAC